GCGCUCACUUCAGCAGCACAUAUGCUGUAACUGGAACAAUACAGAGAAGACUAGCACGGCCCCUGGACAAGAAUGACGUGCAAACGCACGAAGCGUUCUAUACUUAU
ensembl:snRNA U6 U6 spliceosomal RNA